GACAGAGGGUGCAAACGUUGCUCGGAAUUACUGGGCGUAAAGCGUGCGCAGGCGGCUUCUCAAGUCAGGGGUGAAAGCCCAGAGCUCAACUCUGGAAUUGCCUUUGAGACUGAGUGGCUUGAGUACGAGAGAGGUGAGUGGAAUUCCCAGUGUAGAGGUGAAAUUCGUAGAUAUUGGGAAGAACACCGGUGGCGAAGGCGGCUCACUGGCUCGUAACUGACGCUCAUGCACGACAGCGUGGGGAUCAAACAGG
rnacentral:rRNA from 1 species